rnacentral:lncRNA from 1 species
GUGGAUGUAUGUAUAUACGUUUUGAUCAGGAAAAAAAAAAGAGCGGGUCAUAUUAUGGUGACUCCGUACAGUACAGGUCAUUGUCGAGGGCCAUAACUCUUCUCUUUCCCAAUAAAUUUUCUUAUUAAUCUGUACACACAACAAGAAUCCACCAUUAAUGCUUUCACUUUCAACUUCAAUGCACUUUCAGACACACAUACUCUCUCUCUCUUGCCAGUCCUGUGUAAAAGAAAACGUCAAAAGAAGAAAUCCUUCAUUCAAUCCAAUCUACACUGUUUCUACG